AAUAUCUGCAGGAAGCAGGGGAAGGUAAACAAAGAAAGGAGACUCAAUUUAGUCCUCCAUUAAAAAGCCAGAUGUGCCAAUAUAUCCCACUCUGCCCAAACUAAAAACCCUUUAUGUGAAGUUAUCAUCACUAAAUGCUGACCUUAUGAAAUGUUUAGCAAAUACACCACUGGACACCAACAGAAGCAUAAACAGCCCAUUGCUCCACUCAUGUUGACUCACCUCUUGAAGAUGGUACUUUUCUUCUCUUAGGUUAACCAUAUCUGUGUUUCUAUCAUCAGACUGAGACUUAAACCACAAGGCCUAACAGCUGUGGGUCUAGGGACAUCCUUACAGCAAUAACAACACACAAACUCUCCAGAUGGGCUCUUAAAUGCUCACCAAUCCAGAAUUCUUUGCUCCUCAAGGCUGUAACCAGCUGGCAGCAGGUAAUUGCGGUAAUUCUGUAGCUGGUUGGCAUGGCAACUGUCAUGGACCCAGACAUGAGACACACAAGGAAUCCCACUGGCAAGGCAC